UCUGGCUUGCUGGCCCCAUCUCUGAGUAUAUCUUUACACCUCCAAUUGUGUCACCCCCUACCCACCCACACCCUUCCCCACAACCCUCGUUUCCCCUUUUUCUUCCCUCUUUUAGAUUCCCUUUUUUGCUGCGUCUUCACUGUCACCCAAAUUUAUUUGUAUUUAAUUCGAAUAUAUAUACAUAUUUCUGUGUCAUUGGAUUAACGGUGGAUGUGAAAACAGUAAAAUUGGACAAUUGGAUCGAGAUUUUUGUUACCGGAGAUGGGCGAUUCUACGAAUUCAGGGGAGCGAGAUUUUGUGGGAGAAGCUUCUGGAAUCGUGGAACAAGCGAAGGAAUUGCAAGACGCGGCUUCUUCCUUGAUCUCCCGCACCACUCGCGAAGAGGAUUCCUUACGGCAGAAAGCCAAAUCGCUUGAUUCGAGCAUCCAUCAACUCCGUUCAUCUGUUCGGAAAAGCAAACUGGAUUCUGAUCAAGCUGAAAAAUUGGAAGAGGAGUUGUUCAAAGCUAGUUAUGUACUCAGCGAGGGAGAUGCUGCUGCUUUUCUUCCGAGCAAAUCUCAUGGAGGAUUCUUGAGGAUGUUUUUGGGACCAAUCAAUGUUCGUGCUAAUAGAAAGGAUGUGCAACUGAAAGUGAAAGAGGAAUACAAUAGUUUCAGGGACAGGACAGCAUAUCUAUUUCUUCUUUUCCCAUCUUUGCUACUAGUCUUGAGGUCUUAUAUUUGGGAUGGAUGUUUACCAGCGUUGCCAGUCCAACUUUACCAGGCGUGGUUGCUUUACCUCUACACAGGUUUGGCUCUGCGAGAGAACAUUUUGAGAGCGAAUGGAAGUGAUAUUCGUCCAUGGUGGAUUAAACAUCACUAUUGUGCUAUGGCUAUGGCACUUAUAAGUCUUACCUGGGAAAUAGAAAGAGAACCUAGCUGUGCACAGAAGCAGAAGGGUGUGCAACUGUUCCUGAAAUGGGCUAUCAUGCAAGGUGUUGCUAUGCUGCUUCAGAAUAGAUAUCAAAGGCAAAGACUGUACACUCGCAUUGCAUUGGGAAAGGCCAGGAGAAUGGAUGUUGUAUGGGGAGAGACUGCUGGAGUAGAUGGUCAAUUAUUGUUGCUCUUCCCUGUACUAUUUAUCUUACAGGGAUUUGAAGCAUAUGUUGGAGUCUUGCUGCUUAAAACAGCAUUCAUUGGUGUUGUUUCCGAGUGGCAGGUAAUAGAAACUCCCUCUGUUCCAACAUCUGUUAUCUUGUUUGCUUGGUGCGGAGGUUAAGGGACGACAGUUCAUAUAACAUAUUGCGAGUUGGUUAGGAGAUUCUCUAUUAAAAUACUUUGAGACUGUGAAAGGUUGUUACCUGUGGGAUCCUUCUGAUUAUUAUGGCAGUAGGGAAUUUUGCCAACACGGUGCAGACUCUUGUGACCAAGUCUCGGGUUAAAGCCAAAAUGAGGAGAGGUAAAAGUAAACAAGAUCUGAAAUCUGAAGGCGCCAAGAGUUUGUGAUCGGGCGGGUUGGUCCUGUCUAAUGUCCUGGCUAUGGUGGACGAAGAUGCUAAGUUAAUCUUCAUAUACUGUUUUUCUCCUUCAUCUGAGUAGAGCCCGUAAUGCAUCUCUGACACUGACUUUGGAUUUCAGAGGACAGUUGCAGGAAAUAGUCAUGCUUCCAGUCCGUUGAGGAAUUAUUUUGGUUUGAGGUUGUGGUUCUUUUUGUUUUUAAGUUUUUGCUUCGUCUCCUGUUAAAAAGUGUUAUGAUGGAAAGGGAUAUGUCCACAUUUAAAAGAACUUUGACCGUCUGUAAUUUCCAUUGUUUCUAAAUUUUGGUACUUAAGUACUAACGAUAAUUGCAAGCAGCGGAUGAGCAAAGCUUAAUAAGGAAUUUUUGCUUGAAGACUUGCUCUGA